GCAUGUCAUAGCAAGAUUAACGUUCAGUUACGAGGGCGUGGUUCCUGUGUUUGUUUGUGACGUGUCUGUAGGUGCAGCUGUUAAUCAAGACCCUCUAGAAGUCUGAUUGCAUCGACACAGAGGAAACCUAACAAAUGUGAUGUGUUUUUCGAGAGGAAUGGGCUCCUGCAUGGAGAAUUCACCCUUCCUUUUGGCAAGAUCAAGUCAAGGUGAAGGAGCUGCUGUGGAACAGUGACUCGACAGUGCUGGCAGUCUGGCUGGAAGAUAUACCCUCAGAUGGAAACAGCAAACCAAACACCUAUGAUGCCAUGAGGGAACCUUGAAACAAUUCACCAUCGAGCCCUGGUGCUCGCCCAGGCCAGGAAAUGGUUGCUCAGACAGCUAAACGCACAAAUCCGGAGCUGUCGCGAGGGUCAG